GGCCCGGUAGCUCAGUCGGUAGAGCAGAGGACUGAAAAUCCUUGUGUCGGUGGUUCGAUUCCACCCCAGGCCACCA
rnacentral:tRNA from 1 species